GUGGGGAAUAUUCCGCAAUGGACGAAAGUCUGACGGAGCAACGGCGCGUGAGUGAUGAAGGUUUUCGGACUGUAAAGCUCUGUUGUUUAGGACGAAAGUGCCUGUUGCAAAUAGUUACAGGUAUUGACGGUACUGAACGAGGAAGCCACGGCUAACUACGUGCCAGCAGCCGCGGUAAUACGUAGGUGGCAAGCGUUGUCCGGAAUUAUUGGGCGUAAAGAGCAUGUAGGCGGGAAUCUAAGUCUGUUGUGAAAAUGCGGGGCUCAACCCCGUAUUGCGAUGGAAACUGGGUUUCUUGAGUGCAGGAGAGGAAAGGGGAAUUCCCAGUGUAGCGGUGAAAUGCGUAGAUAUUGGGAGGAACACCAGUGGCGAAGGCGCCUUUCUGGACUGUGUCUGACGCUGAGAUGCGAAAGCCAGGGUAGCGAACGGGAUUAGAUACCCCUGUAGUCC
rnacentral:rRNA from 1 species